rnacentral:rRNA from 1 species
AUACUUAGUGGCAGACGGGUGAGUAACAUGUGGGUAUCUACCCUUUGGCCUGGAAUAACACGAGGAAACUUGUGCUAAUACCGGAUAAGUCUUUACGGAGAAAGCUUUAUGCACCAUUGGAUGAGCCCGCACUUGAUUAGUUUGUUGGUAGGGUAAUGGCCUACCAAGACUAUGAUCAAUAGCUGAUUUGAGAGGAUGAUCAGCCACAUUGGGACUGAGACACGGCCCAAACUCCUACGGGAGGCAGCAGUGGGGAAUCUUGCACAAUGGAGGAAACUCUGAUGCAGCGAUGCCGCGUGAGUGAAGAAGGCCUUUGGGUUGUAAAGCCCUUUCGUCGGGGAAGAAAAUGACUGUACCCGAAUAAGAAGGUCCGGCUAACUUCGUGCCAGCAGCCGCGGUAAUACGAAGGGACCUAGCGUAGUUCGGAAUUACUGGGCUUAAAGAGUUCGUAGGUGGUUGAAAAAGUUGGUGGUGAAAUCCCAGAGCUUAACUCUGGAACUGCCAUCAAAACUUUUCAGCUAGAGUAUGAUAGAGGAAAGCAGAAUUUCUAGUGUAGAGGUGAAAUUCGUAGAUAUUAGAAAGAAUACCAAUUGCGAAGGCAGCUUUCUGGAUCAUUACUGACACUGAGGAACGAAAGCAUGGGUAGCGAAGAGGAUUAGAUACCCUCGUAGUCCAUGCCGUAAACGAUGUGUGUUAGACGUUGGAAAUUUAUUUUCAGUGUCGCAGGGAAACCGAUAAACACACCGCCUGGGGAGUACGACCGCAAGGUUAAAACUCAAAUGAAUUGACGGGGACCCGCACAAGUAGUGGAGCAU